rnacentral:rRNA from 1 species
AUCAGGUAGGAACACCCGCUGAACUUAGCAUAUCAAUAAGCGGAGGAAAAGAAAAUAACAAUGAUUCCCCUAGUAACUGCGAGUGAAGAGGGACAAGCUCAAAUUUUAAAUCUGUCGGGUUUUUACCCGAUCGAGUUGUAAUUUGAAGAAGCGUUUUCUGCGUAUUUGGUCGGCCCAAGUCCUAUUGAAUGAGGCAUCAUGGAGGGUGAUAAUCCCGUCCGGUUGAUCAUUGCGUUUUAUGAUACGCUUUCUAAGAGUCAAGUUGUUUGGGAUUGCAGCUUAAAAUGGGAGGUAAAUUUCUCCUAAGGCUAAAUAACGGCGAGAAACCGAUAGCGAACAAGUACCGUGAGGGAAAGAUGAAAAGAACUUUGAAAAGAGAGUUAAACAGUACGUGAAAUUGUUGAAAGGGAAACGAUCGAAGCCAGUCGUACCUGUGGGUAAUCAGCCUUUUGGGUGUGAUUUUGUGGAGCGUGGAGAGUUAAACGCCUUCAUGCCUGCAUAUUCGUGCACUUUGGGUGUACUUGCCCGUGUGUAAGUUAACAUCAAUUUUGGUGGUCAUAAAAUGGCUGGAGGAAUGUAGCUUCGAUCUUGUAUUGAAGUGUUAUAACCUUCGGUAGAUGUGACGAUCGGGAUUGAGGAUUGCAACGGAUACCCUUCGGGGCUACCUGUCUGAUCUCUGAUUGUUGCUCUGGUGCCGAAAGCUUGCUUACGGUUAUCAAAGUCGAUGGUCAAUAGGUUAGAACGGGUUAAAUUCGUUAAGGAUGUUGACGUAAUGGCUUUAAACGACCCGUCUUGAAACACGGACCAAGGAGUCUAACAUAUAUGCGAGUGUU